rnacentral:tRNA from 1 species
CUGGUAAUAAGGACUCACUCCUGUAGGUGAAUUUACAGCUCACUGCCUGCUCUCGGCCAUAUUACC